UGACGCUGGCGGNGGCCUAANACAUGCAAGUCGAGCGGUAGCACAGAGAGCUUGCUCUCGGGUGACGAGCGGCGGACGGGUGAGUAAUGUCUGGGAAACUGCCUGAUGGAGGGGGAUAACUACUGGAAACGGUAGCUAAUACCGCAUAACGUCGCAAGACCAAAGUGGGGGACCUUCGGGCCUCAUGCCAUCAGAUGUGCCCAGAUGGGAUUAGCUAGUAGGUGGGGUAACGGCUCACCUAGGCGACGAUCCCUAGCUGGUCUGAGAGGAUGACCAGCCACACUGGAACUGAGACACGGUCCAGACUCCUACGGGAGGCAGCAGUGGGGAAUAUUGCACAAUGGGCGCAAGCCUGAUGCAGCCAUGCCGCGUGUGUGAAGAAGGCCUUCGGGUUGUAAAGCACUUUCAGCGGGGAGGAAGGCGAUAAGGUUAAUAACCUUGUCGAUUGACGUUACCCGCAGAAGAAGCACCGGCUAACUCCGUGCCAGCAGCCGCGGUAAUACGGAGGGGUGCAAGCGUUAAUCGGAAUUACUGGGCGUAAAGCGCACGCAGGCGGUCUGUCAAGUCGGAUGUGAAAUCCCCGGGCUCAACCUGGGAACUGCAUUCGAAACUGGCAGGCUAGAGUCUUGUAGAGGGGGGGUAGAAUUCCAGGUGUAGCGGUGAAAUGCGUAGAGAUCUGGAGGAAUACCGGUGGCGAAGGCGGCCCCCUGGACAAAGACUGACGCUCAGGUGCGAAAGCGUGGGGAGCAAACAGGAUUAGAUACCCUGGUAGUCCACGCCGUAAACGAUGUCGAUUUGGAGGUUGUGCCCUUGAGGCGUGGCUUCCGGAGCUAACGCGUUAAAUCGACCGCCUGGGGGAGUACGGCCGCAAGGUUAAAACUCAAAUGAAUUGACGGGGGCCCGCACAAGCGGUGGAGCAUGUGGUUUAAUUCGAUGCAACGCGAAGAACCUUACCURGUCUUGACAUCCACAGAACUUUCCAGAGAUGGNUUGGUGCCUUCGGGAACUGUGAGACAGGUGCUGCAUGGCUGUCGUCAGCUCGUGUUGUGAAAUGUUGGGUUAAGUCCCGCAACGAGCGCAACCCUUAUCCUUUGUUGCCAGCGGUCCGGCCGGGAACUCAAAGGAGACUGCCAGUGAUAAACUGGAGGAAGGUGGGGAUGACGUCAAGUCAUCAUGGCCCUUACGANCAGGGCUACACACGUGCUACAAUGGCAUAUACAAAGAGAAGCGACCUCGCGAGAGCAAGCGGACCUCAUAAAGUAUGUCGUAGUCCGGAUUGGAGUCUGCAACUCGACUCCAUGAAGUCGGAAUCGCUAGUAAUCGURGAUCAGAAUGCYACGGUGAAUACGUUCCCGGGCCUUGUACACACCGCCCGUCACACCAUGGGAGUGGGUUGCAAAAGAAGUAGGUAGCUUAACCUUCGGGAGGGCGCUUACCUACUUUGUGAUCANAACYGG
rnacentral:rRNA from 2 species